CAAAACCUAACCUAAAAUGUGGAACAAUACAAAUUUCCACCACAGAAAACCAUCAAACAGAACUAUUCUGCAAGACAGUACCUCACCCCGGCGUCCAAGGCCAGGACCCUGCACGGUAAGCCUCAUUUAAGGAGAGGCUGAGUGUUACAGUCUUGCCAGGCAGCGGGGAACCGUGGUGAUAAGGGCAAUGAGACAGCAGCCGGAGCUCAGCAUAUUGGCGGAGUUUGGCCACACGCUUGGCAGCACGAAGAUGCCCGGACAGCACUAACUCUAAGAGGGACUUUCAAGUUCAGCUGUGAUGUCCACACAAGCAAUGCCAAACCUAGUCUGGGAGUCCAGCAUUCUGGAGCAGGAAAAAGAAGAAGGGAUCAUGUCCACCCCAGGCAGAGACGGCAAACGCCUCCUCAUUGCCACGCUUGCCUGGACCAUGCUAUGAAAGAAAAGAAACGUCAUCGUCGCACCUGGCUGCCACAACGGGUCACACUGAGGAGUCCACUCCAGGAUGGACAGCCUUGGCCAGAAGCGCCCACACAGGAGAUCUGGUCGUCAGGAAGGCUGAAAUUCUGCUCUCUUGAAUGCAUGUCCAGAGAAUUCUGACAAGCUUUUUCCUGGACCACUCAAGGCCCCACUGUAAACAGGACAGAGAGAGAGCACUAAAGAAAACCCUGGAGAUGAGCAAGGCUAUUCAAGGAAGGGACACCCCUCCCUGAGUCUGGGCUGGCAGAGAAGGGUACUGAGCCGCUCCAGGCCAGAGCCCAUCAACAGUGGCUGGACAAGCAGAAGAUGCUGCUCCAAGGUGCAUGUGGGCAGAAAACCAUGACCAGACCUGACAAGCAGAAAACACCUCUCUGGAGGGCUGUGGAAACUCAAUGGGACGCUAUCCAUGAAGGACUGCUGAAACUUACUGGAGGCCAAGGCCACUGGAUGUCUCCCCCAACCUACUCACUGGUUGCAACCAAAUAGUAGGAGCAAGAAGAAGAAAAACAGAAGACACAAGAACUGGGAAAAGAAGCCCCUUCCUCCUGCACUGUCCCUCCAGCGACCUCCUACCAACAAACCUCUAACGUCAUGCCAACAGCAAAGGAGAAAUAGUUUAAGGACCCAGAUCCACUUCCACGGGUCAGGCAAUGAAGUUUGAAUUUGGAGCCAACAGGCAAAUAAACUGCCAACUGGCACAACUAUUUGUCUUUGAUGACUGUUAAAAAUCAUAUCGAUAGCUAAGCCAUGUUGUAUACAGUGAUCCCUUCUUCCCUCCUUGGCUUUCUGGUUUCUCUUGAAUUAAUAAUUGACUUGGUUGCUUUUGUCUCUUUAACUAUCAUUAAUCCCCCAAAUCUCCCCUUUGUAAUCUAAAUCCCCCCUCCCACGGGCACCAAUAUUCUCAGUCCUAGUUCUGGCAAUCUUUGGUGCUGGCACCACGGUUGGGGGAGGGAGACAUGGAAGCAGAGACAGUGUUACUAUUUGAGGAAGUUCAUGCAUCUUCAGCAAGAUCCCCCACAAUGACCUUGGGGGCAGUUCCCAGAGGCCAUGGACUCUUCUCUAUGGCUCCUUUCUCCUCCCGGAAGGUAAUCUCACAAAUGCUGUCCCCUCUUCUUUCAUCAACCCAUUGCUCUCCUGGCUUCUUGGCAUCACAUUUAUUAAUCAAACACAGCUAUUAAUAUGGCCAAGAAGCAUGAAUAGUGGGGCAACACAUUGUCUUAGAGACAAGGAGAGGAACAAAUGUGACAAAUUCAGACCUAUAUCAUCAACCUCUGGCUUCUUGAAAAGGUCCCCAAGCCCUUCUGGAAUUUCUACAAUAGGCCUUUUCUUCGUACUAAACUUUCAGCAUCCUUAAGAACUAUCAUUCUAGAUAAAUAAGCUGUGUCUUAUUCUACUGUAUUGCUUUU